CAGGUGUGUUUCUAUCCCUCUCAGGUGUGCUGUGGCUGUGCCCAGGUGUGCCCAGGUGUGUUCCUAUUCCUCUCAGGUGUACCCAGGUGUGCCCAGGUGUGUUUCUAUCCCCCUCAGAUGUGCCCAGGUGUGCCCAGGUGUGUUCCUAUCCCCCCCAGGUGUGCUGUGGCUGUGCCCAGGUGUGUUCCUAUCCCUCUCAGCUGUGCCCAGGUGUGCUGUGGCUGUGCCCAGGUGUGUGCCCAGGUGUGCCCAGGUACCCACGUUGAUGCAGAAGAGCGUGGUCAUGCGGUGCAGGUAGUUGGGGUCGGC